GUGAAGUGUAGGGGCAUUUACUUUGAGUAGUAUGAACUUUUGCAACUGAAAGUCGGGCUUCUAACAGCCAAAAAUCCUUUAGUAAGUCAAGGGUAUAAAUACCUCACUUGACAAAAUUUUGAGAAAAAACUCUCAAAAUUUCUUCUAAUAGAGACCUUGCUAUCCCUUUUUCUCUCUUUUCCUUCUCCUUCCCAAAAAUUGAGCUUAAAUCUUGGAGUAUGUCCUUGGAAAGGUGUUGCAUGUAAG
rnacentral:misc_RNA from 1 species